CCCAGACCUGGUUAAAGACCUCACAGAGUUCCUGAAAGUGCGAUCACAUGACCCAGAGGAGGCGAUCCGGCACGACGUAUCGUGACGAUAUCAACGCGGGGAAGAAAAGACCUGACCUGGUUAACGACCAGCUCCUGGGCUUCGUCAGGGAGAGGACCCUGGACAAGAGGUGGCGGGUACGUAAGGAGGCGAUGAUGGGUCUGGCCCAGUUGUUUAAGAAGUACUGUC